rnacentral:rRNA from 1 species
CAGUCGCCGCGGGAAUACAGAGGGUGCGAGCGUUAAUCGGAUUUACUGGGCGUAAAGCGUGCGUAGGCGGCUUUUUAAGUUGGAUGUGAAAUCCCUGAGCUUAACUUAGGAAUUGCAUUCGAUACUGGGAAGCUAGAGUAUGGGAGAGGAUGGUAGAAUUCCAGGUGUAGCGGUGAAAUGCGUAGAGAUCUGGAGGAAUACCGAUGGCGAAGGCAGCCAUCUGGCCUAAUACUGACGCUGAGGUACGAAAGCAUGGGGAGCAAACAGGAUUAGAUACCCCAGUAGUCCCUGUCUCUUAUAU